rnacentral:rRNA from 1 species
CGCAGCCACGGUAAUACGAAGGGUGCAAGCGUUAAUCGGAAUUACUGGGCGUAAAGCGUGCGUAGGCGGUUUGUUAAGUCUGUUGUGAAAUCCCCGGGCUCAACCUGGGAAUGGCAAUGGAUACUGGCAAGCUAGAGUGUGUCAGAGGAUGGUGGAAUUCCCGGUGUAGCGGUGAAAUGCGUAGAGAUCGGGAGGAACAUCAGUGGCGAAGGCGGCCAUCUGGGACAACACUGACGCUGAGGCACGAAAGCGUGGGGAGCAAACAGGAUUAGAUACCCCUGUAGUCCCUGUCUCUUAUACA